UCGGGAAUUUUGGGCAAUGGGGGAAACCCUGACCCAGCAACGCCGCGUGAAGGAUGAAGUAUUUCGGUAUGUAAACUUCGAAAGAAUAGGAAGAAUAAAUGACGGUACUAUUUGUAAGGUCCGGCUAACUACGUGCCAGCAGCCGCGGUAAUACGUAGGGACCAAGCGUUGUUCGGAUUUACUGGGCGUAAAGGGCGCGUAGGCGGUGUGUCAAGUCAGUUGUGAAAUCUCCGAGCUUAACUCGGAACGGUCAACUGAUACUGUCACACUAGAGUACAGAAGGGGCAAUCGGAAUUCUUGGUGUAGCGGUGAAAUGCGUAGAUAUCAAGAGGAACACCUGAGGCGAAGGCGGGUUGCUGGGCUGAUACUGACGCUGAGGCGCGAAAGCUAGGGUAGCAAACGGGAUUAGAUACCCAAGUAGUCCCUGAGCGGGCUGGCAAGGCGCAU
rnacentral:rRNA from 1 species